rnacentral:rRNA from 1 species
CACGUAGGGGGCAAGCGUUGUCCGGAUUUAUUGGGCGUAAAGAGCUCGUAGGCGGUUCGGUAAGUCGGGUGUGAAACCUCCAGGCUCAACCUGGAGUCGCCACUCGAUACUGCUGUGACUAGAGUCCGGUAGGGGAGCGUGGAAUUCCUGGUGUAGCGGUGAAAUGCGCAGAUAUCAGGAGGAACACCGAUGGCGAAGGCAGAUCUCUGGGCCGUAACUGACGCUGAGGAGCGAAAGCAUGGGGAGCGAACAGG